rnacentral:rRNA from 1 species
AGCGAACGCUGGCGGCAGGCCUAACACAUGCAAGUCGAACGAACCUUUCGGGGUUAGUGGCGGACGGGUGAGUAACACGUGGGAACGUGCCUUUAGGUUCGGAAUAACUCAGGGAAACUUGUGCUAAUACCGAAUGUGCCCUUCGGGGGAAAGAUUUAUCGCCUUUAGAUCGGCCCGCGUCUGAUUAGCUAGUUGGUUGAGGUAAUGGCUCACCAAGGCGACGAUCAGUAGCUGGUCUGAGAGGAUGAUCAGCUACAUUGGGACUGAGACACGGCCCAAACUCCUACGGGAGGCAGCAGUGGGGAAUCUUGCGCAAUGGGCGAAAGCCUGACGCAGCCAUGCCGCGUGAAUGAUGAAGGUCUUAGGAUUGUAAAAUUCUUUCACCGGGGACGAUAAUGACGGUACCCGGAGAAGAAGCCCCGGCUAACUUCGUG